rnacentral:rRNA from 1 species
CCUACGGGUGGCAGCAGUGGGGAAUAUUGGACAAUGGGCGAAAGCCUGAUCCAGCCAUGCCGCGUGUGUGAAGAAGGCCUUCGGGUUGUAAAGCACUUUCAGUGGGGAAGAAAGCCUUGGGGCUAAUACCCUCGAGGAAGGACAUCACCCACAGAAGAAGCACCGGCUAACUCCGUGCCAGCAGCCGCGGUAAUACGGAGGGUGCGAGCGUUAAUCGGAAUUACUGGGCGUAAAGCGCGCGUAGGCGGUCUGAUAAGCCGGUUGUGAAAGCCCCGGGCUCAACCUGGGAACGGCAUCCGGAACUGUCAGGCUAGAGUGCAGGAGAGGAAGGUAGAAUUCCCGGUGUAGCGGUGAAAUGCGUAGAGGUCGGGAGGAAUACCAGUGGCGAAGGCGGCCUUCUGGACUGACACUGACGCUGAGGUGCGAAAGCGUGGGUAGCAAACAGGAUUAGAUACCCGUGUAGUC